UGGGGCGUAGCCAAGCGGUAAGGCAGCGGAUUUUGAUUCCGCCAUGCGGAGGUUCGAUUCCUCCCGCCCCAGCCA
rnacentral:tRNA from 1 species